UACGUAGGGGGCAAGCGUUGUCCGGAAUCAUUGGGCGUAAAGCGAGUGUAGGCGGUUUGGUAAGUCGGAUGUGAAAGCCCCCGGGCUCAACCCGGGAAGUGCACUCGAUACUGCCAAGCUAGAGUAUCGGAGAGGUUGGUGGAAUUCUCGGUGUAGAGGUGAAAUUCGUAGAUAUCGAGAGGAACACCGGUGGCGAAGGCGGCCAACUGGACGAAUACUGACGCUGAGAACUCGAAAGCGUGGGGAGCAAACAGG
rnacentral:rRNA from 1 species